rnacentral:tRNA from 1 species
GGGCUGGUAGCUCAGAGGCUACCGCCGGGAAACUAGGUAGAGCUCUAGGAGGAGCUCGCCUAAAGCGCCGGACCAAGCUUGGGCGAAGCUUUUAACCCGGCGGCCGCGGGUUCGAAUCCCGCCCAGCCCGCCA